UGUUAUAAUAUAGACAACCAGGAGGUUUGCCUAGAAGCAGCCACCAUUGAAAGAGUGUGUAAUAGCUCACUGAUCGAGCGCUCUUGUGCUGAAGAUGAACGGGGCUAA
rfam:Vigna angularis cultivar Jingnong 6 chromosome 4, whole genome shotgun sequence.